rnacentral:tRNA from 1 species
GGAGAGGUGGCAGAGUGGACUAAUGCGGCGGUCUCGAAAACCGUAGCGUCGGUAAUCCCGGCGCCGGGGGUUCGAAUCCCCCCCUCUCCG